rnacentral:rRNA from 1 species
AUUGAACGCUGGCGGCAUGCUUUACACAUGCAAGUCGAACGGCAGCGCGGGCUUCGGCCUGGCGGCGAGUGGCGAACGGGUGAGUAAUAUAUCGGAACGUACCCAAGAGUGGGGAUAACGUAGCGAAGUUACGCUAAUACCGCAUACGAUCUAAGGAUGAAAGCAGGGGAUCGCAAGACCUUGUGCUCCUGGAGCGGCCGAUAUCUGAUUAGCUAGUUGGUGAGGUAAAGGCUCACCAAGGCAACGAUCAGUAGCUGGU